rnacentral:misc_RNA from 1 species
GAUGAAGAACGUAGCGAAAUGCGAUAAGUAAUGCGAAUUGCAGAAUUCCAGUGAGUCAUCGAAUCUUUGAACGCACAUUGCGCCCUUUGGCAUUCCGAAGGGCAUGCCUGUUCGAGCGUCAUUAUCACCCCUCAAGCCCUUCGGCUUGGUGUUGGGCGACGGCAGUCUGCCGCGCCUCGAAGUGAUCGGCUGGACGGUUUGAAUCUCAGCGUUGUGGUUUCAUCAAUUCGCUGGCGAGGACGACCGGACGCGCCGUUAAACCUCAAUCACAGGUUGACCUCGGAUCGGGUAGGGAUACCCGCUGAACUUAAGCAUAUCAAUAAGCGGAGGA